rnacentral:rRNA from 1 species
AUGCCUGAAUCCCAAUCCCUAAUUCCUUCCGAGCUCCGACUGCUCCCGGCUCCACUCCGGAGCUGCCGCGCCCACCUUGCCAGCAUGCUCCCGCACCUCCAGCGACUGGCGCCCCUGCAGUGCACCUUCUGCUCCAGCGCGGCAGCGCCUGGCAAGCUCUUCCACGCCGGCGCCGGUGGAGCUGCUACACGAGGCACGGAGGCGCAAGCGAGAGUACUGGGAAAGCGUGCGUGGACUUCGUUCGGAGAGGUGGUCGGUUCACGCUGCUCCUGCUCGAGCAAGGGAAAUGAAAUGUUUUGA